rnacentral:rRNA from 1 species
UACGAAGGGGGCUAGCGUUGUUCGGAUUUACUGGGCGUAAAGCGCACGUAGGCGGAUCGUUAAGUCGGGGGUGAAAUCCUGGAGCUCAACUCCAGAACUGCCUUCGAUACUGGCGAUCUCGAGUCCGGAAGAGGUGAGUGGAACUCCUAGUGUAGAGGUGGAAUUCGUAGAUAUCAGGAAGAACACCAGUGGCGAAGGCGGCUCACUGGUCCGAUACUGACGCUGAGGUGCGAAAGCGUGGGGAGCAAACAGG